CUCUUAGUAACUGCGAGUGAACAGAGAUUAGCCCAGCAUCGAAGCCUCUGUGCGUUUGUGCAGAAGGCAAUGUGAUGUGACGGUGUUCGAUUUCGCAAACUGACUAACUUGAAGUCCAUAUUUGACUGUGGCUUACACUUAUGCUCCCCGAGAUGGUGAAAGGCCCGUUCAGGUUGGUAUUCAGAAUUGACUGUUUGCGUAUAUUCGUUCACCAUAGAGUCGGAUUGCUUGAGAGUGCAGUCCAAAUUUGGUGGUAAACUCCAUCAAAGGCUAAAUACCUGUGUGAGUCCGAUAGUCAACAAGUACCGUGAGGGAAAGUUGAAAAGUACUCUGAAGAGAGAGUAAAUAGUACGUGAAACUACAUGGAGGUUAAUCGGAUAGAGUCCAACUGCGUGUUGUUGUUCAUUGCAUUACCCACUUAUUGAUACAAAUCGGGCAUACGUGGUUUGUCAUUUGACAAGUCCAUUCGUGGACUCUUGGCAAUUGACAUUGGUAUCUUCCAUGAUGUCCGUAUGUGGGUAGUGUUAUGGCAGCAAUGAAGGCCACAGUCAGUUAACCUAUCGGCACUUAGUGUACAGCAACUGUGUAGUUGACUUAAUUGUUAUCUAUGCAGUGGUAAUAGUCGUCAUUCACGUGUGCUUGCAUAUGUGAGUGAUAUCAGGGCUACGGCCUGUUGUGCACUGAGUUAAGCUGUGUGGUGAACUGGUUAAAUAUAUUCAUUUAUUCAUGAGCUCGAAUAGCUUGCUAUGAGAGUUUGUGAUGGAAUGUAUGA
rnacentral:rRNA from 1 species